rfam:Loxodonta africana unplaced genomic scaffold scaffold_70, whole genome shotgun sequence.
GCAGUGGUGGUUCAGAGGUAGAAUUCUUGACUUCCAUGCAGGAGAUCCAGGUUCGAUUCCUGGCCAAGACA